rnacentral:rRNA from 1 species
UAGUCUGAGGCACUCUGAUCAGCAUGCCGCGUGCUAGUGGAAGACAGGCCCUUAUUGGGUUUGUAAAAGCUGUUUUUGCACGGAAGAAAACCCUUUCCGAGUACUAGGUUGAUAUGACCGUAACAAUAAAAUCGGCUACGUUCAUGCCUGCGCCCGCGGCAAGACAAAUGAUGAGGCGUUAUCCGGAUUCAUUAUUUUUUGGGGGAGCGUAGGUGGACUUGUUUUUUUUGGCGAAUCUCUCCCCUUGAUGAAACUUGCCAUUGAUACUGCACGUCUUGAGUACAGAUGAUGUGGGCGGAAUAUGACUCGUAGUGGUGAAAUACUUAGAUAUGUCAUAUAACACCGAUUGCGAAGGCAGCUCACACACCUGUAACUGACACUGAGGCUCGAAAGUGCGGGGAUCAAACAGGAUUAGAUACCCUGGUCCUCCGCACCGUAAACGAUGAUUACUCGUUGUUAGCGAUAUGACCCUUAGCGACCAUACGGAAGCGAUAAGUAAUCCACCUGGACCGUACGCCGACAACGGUCAAACUAAUAGAAUUUGACGGGAUUGGCGG